GACGAACGCUGGCGGCGUGCUUAACACAUGCAAGUCGAGCGGUAAGGCCCUUCGGGGUACACGAGCGGCGAACGGGUGAGUAACACGUGAGCAACCUGCCCCUGACUCCGGGAUAAGCGGUGGAAACGCCGUCUAAUACCGGAUACGACCCGCCACCUCAUGGUGGAGGGUGGAAAGUUUUUCGGUCAGGGAUGGGCUCGCGGCCUAUCAGCUUGUUGGUGGGGUAACGGCCUACCAAGGCGAUUACGGGUAGCCGGCCUGAGAGGGCGACCGGCCACACUGGGACUGAGACACGGCCCAGACUCCUGCGGGAGGCAGCAGUGGGGAAUAUUGCGCAAUGGGCGAAAGCCUGACGCAGCGACGCCGCGUGGGGGAUGACGGCCUUCGGGUUGUAAACCUCUUUUACCACCAACGCAGGCUCGAAGUUCUCUUCGGGUUGACGGUAGGUGGGGAAUAAGGACCGGCUAACUACGUGCCAGCAGCCGCGGUAAUACGUAGGGUCCGAGCGUUGUCCGGAAUUAUUGGGCGUAAAGAGCUCGUAGGCGGCGUGUCGCGUCUGCUGUGAAAGACCGGGGCUUAACUCCGGUUCUGCAGUGGAUACGGGCAUGCUAGAGGUAGGUAGGGGAGACUGGAAUUCCUGGUGUAGCGGUGAAAUGCGCAGAUAUCAGGAGGAACACCGGUGGCGAAGGCGGGUCUCUGGGCCUUACCUGACGCUGAGGAGCGAAAGCAUGGGGAGCGAACAGGAUUAGAUACCCUGGUAGUCCAUGCCGUAAACGUUGGGCGCUAGGUGUGGGGACUUUCCACGGUUUCCGCGCCGUAGCUAACGCAUUAAGCGCCCCGCCUGGGGGAGUACGGCCGCAAGGCUAAAACUCAAAGGAAUUGACGGGGGGCCCGCACAAGCGGCGGAGCAUGUUGCUUAAUUCGACGCAAC
rnacentral:rRNA from 2 species